rnacentral:rRNA from 1 species
UGGGGAAUUUUGGACAAUGGGGGCAACCCUGAUCCAGCAAUGCCGCGUGUGUGAAGAAGGCCUUCGGGUUGUAAAGCACUUUUGUCCGGAAAGAAAACGCCGUGGUUAAUACCCGUGGCGGAUGACGGUACCGGAAGAAUAAGCACCGGCUAACUACGUGCCAGCAGCCGCGGUAAUACGUAGGGUGCAAGCGUUAAUCGGAAUUACUGGGCGUAAAGCGUGCGCAGGCGGUCCGCUAAGACAGAUGUGAAAUCCCCGGGCUUAACCUGGGAACUGCAUUUGUGACUGGCGGGCUAGAGUAUGGCAGAGGGGGGUAGAAUUCCACGUGUAGCAGUGAAAUGCGUAGAGAUGUGGAGGAAUACCGAUGGCGAAGGCAGCCCCCUGGGCCAAUACUGACGCUCAUGCACGAAAGCGUGGGGGAGCAAACAGGAUUAGAUACCCUGGUAGUCCACGCCCUAAACGAUGUCAACUAGUUGUCGGGUCUUCAUUGACUUGGUAACGUAGCUAACGCGUGAAGUUGACCGCCUGGGGAGUACGGUCGCAAGAUUAAAACUUAAAUGAAUUGACGGGGUCAUAGCU